UAUGCAGUCGACGGGAUCCACCGGGCUUUGCUUGGUGGUGAGAGUGGCGAACGGGUGAGUAAUGCGUGACCGACCUGCCCCAUACACCGGAAUAGCUCCUGGAAACGGGUGGUAAUGCCGGAUGCUCCAGUUGAUCGCAUGGUCUUCUGGGAAAGCUUUCGCGGUAUGGGAUGGGGUCGCGUCCUAUCAGCUUGACGGCGGGGUAACGGCCCACCGUGGCUUCGACGGGUAGCCGGCCUGAGAGGGCGACCGGCCACAUUGGGACUGAGAUACGGCCCAGACUCCUACGGGAGGCAGCAGUAGGA
rnacentral:rRNA from 1 species